CUUUGCACACGCGGGAGCUCGGAGCACCGGGCUGAGAGGGCGCUGACCGUGUAGUCGCCGGAGUAACUCCGGAACACCCACGCUGCGCCGACCGCCGAACCUGUUACCGGGUAAUGCCGGCGUAGGGAGUAGGUCUCAUGACCGU
rnacentral:ncRNA from 1 species